ensembl:lncRNA
GCCAGCCACACCUGAGCCUCCCAUUGAGGAUGGACCCAGAGAGGACAGACAGAUCCAGGCCCAGGGCCACAACUGACAAAUGAGCGAGCUGAAAGUCCUUCUUUUUCUGACUCAGCUUCUGGGCCAAGGUGAGGACAGAAGAGGGACUCGCCCAGCCCUGUCUUUAUGGUCACAGAGAGGCAUCCCCACUGGCUUCCUGCAGCGGUCAGGAGUGCCCAGAGGGAGGUCCCACCUGCCCUCCAGAGGCCUGAAGCAGCACCUCUCUGUCCUCCUUUGGCCCUGAGCUAUUUCUCCUCUGAGAUGCCUCUCUGCCAUGUCACCCUGCCUUGGGACCAGCUGACAAUGGACUGAUACCUCUACAAACUAAUGGGAAAAUAAUUUUGCCAGCGAUUCCUCAGAAAGAAUGGCACCAGGUUGGGUCUGCGAGGUUCCCACAACUGAAAUAAGGAAAUGAAGACACUUCACAGAAAAAGUACCAAUGACCAAUACAUGAAGAAAUGAUCACCUUUUGCAGCAGGUUUGCUGACUCCCAUCACAGAAAAAGAAUUUUUAGGAUGUGUGAAGAGGCAUGAGAAGGGUUUAUUAGACACUGAUUUUAGGAUGUAUUCAAGCAUGAAUUGCAGGUGCUCAGAGAAAAAUGAGAUGCAUUAUGAUCCAGAGCUGGUAUACUUAGGGGGCCUUGGGGGUAUCUUCAAGAUGAAUGAUCUAGGUUGUGUGUUUCUACUGUCUGUCAGGUUACCCAUCUUGCAGAUUAUGUCAGAAUGCAAGCCAUCUACAUGUGUUUGAAUUUCAUAUAUGCUGCCUACCAAUACUGCUAUUUCCUGAGGGUGGAGGAAGUGCAGCUUACAGGUGAAAAGUAUAGGUCUAGAGCCCAAUUUAUAGGCUUAUUGUGUUUUUAAGGUCUUUAGGAAUUUUUUUGAGAUUUUUGGAAGGGGAAAAGCUUGAGUAACUUUUGCGUCUUAAAAACUAAAACUAAAUAUAAUUGUAAAAUCUUGAUUUUUUUUGUUUUCCUUUUGCCUAUUUUUAAUUUGUUCUAUACCACCUCAAGAGGACUAAUAUUUAGAAUACAUAAAGAACUAAAAAAAAUUAGACCCCC